AAUCAACGCUGGCGGCGUGCCUAACACAUGCAAGUCGAGCGCGAAUAGGGGGGCAACUCCCUUAGUAGAGCGGCAAACGGGUGAGUAACGCGUGGGUGAUCUACCUUCGAGUGGGAGCAACACCGGGAAACUGUGCUGAUACCGCAUGACAUCCCGGGUCACACCGGGAUCAAAGCUGGGGACCGUAAGGCCUGGCGCUUGAAGACGAGCCCCGCGUCCGAUUAGCUAGNGGGUCGGGGUAACGGCCCACCAAGGCGACGAUCGGUAGCCGGCCUGAGA
rnacentral:rRNA from 1 species